CGGAGGGUGCAAGCGUUAUCCGGAUUCACUGGGUUUAAAGGGUGCGUAGGCGGGUAUGUAAGUCCGUGGUGAAAUCUCCGAGCUUAACUCGGAAACUGCCAUGGAUACUAUGUGUCUUGAAUGUUGUGGAGGUGAGCGGAAUAUGUCAUGUAGCGGUGAAAUGCUUAGAUAUGACAUAGAACACCAAUUGCGAAGGCAGCUCACUACACAAAUAUUGACGCUGAGGCACGAAAGCGUGGGAUCAAACAGGAUUAGAUACCCUGGUAGUCCACGCCCUAAACGAUGAUUACUCGACAUACGUGAUACACAAUGUGUGUCUGAGCGAAAGCAUUAAGUAAUCCACCGUGGGAAGUACGACCGCAAGGUUG
rnacentral:rRNA from 1 species